ensembl:lincRNA
AUUGCAGUGAAGGAGAGAAAUGUGGAACCCUAAUCAAGGUCCGCCAGGGGGGUAUCCCAUGGGACCCCCAAUUCCCAACCCCGCCUAUCCUCCUGGUCAAAACCCAGCCUACCCACCAGGAGUGAACCCGGCCUUCCCACCUGUGGUGACCCCCCCUGGCCCCUACCCAGGGCCCCCCGUUGGUAUCCCGGGUCAAAACCCCUAUCCUGGGGUUCCCAUGGGCCCGGGACCUUAUCCGGGGGGCCCUCCCUGUCCCCCAGGGGUCAACCCUUCCUACCCAGGGCCACAUGGUGGGGUCUUUCCUGGCCCUUACCCAGCUGGCAGCCCGGGACACAAACACGGAAAAUCUUACCCCAUGGCUGGGGGCCUGGCGGCGGGCGUGGCGGGGGCGGGCGUGGUAAUUGGUGGGCACAAGGCGCACAAGAAGAUGAAGAAGAAGAUGAAGAAGGCACACAAGUACCACAAGCACGGGAAGCAUUCCUCAAGCAGCAGCAGCAGCAGCAGCAGCGACUCGGACUGAGCUCUCGCUGUUGACGCGACACUCCCAUCAAACUCUGACAUGGCGGCUUCACCCGGGCUGCGCGCUUCAUAGCUUUGCAUUAUGUUGUACAGCACUGAUGUAAGACAUAGCACAGAAGAGGUUUUCAAACUGCCAUGGUGAUGAGGGAUUUCACACAAGCCCGAUCUGUAAGUAAAAAUCCUGAUUUUAAUACAUCUCUGCUGGGCUCAGUGAAAAAUCAUGCAGAUCCCCCUGAGGACACCCUAAGAACAAUCUCUGAGGACCACAUUCCAUGACACUUUGAAAACCACACUGUGAAAUUGCUGAUAUGGAAAGCUUGAGGCUAUUUAAAACUCUAUAUUUUUUUGAAGGAAAGGGUGUUGUAUUUAAGAUUAUGCAAUGACUGUUUUAACAAUAAAUGACAAAGAUUUGUGACUCCAGUCUCUAAUGGCUGUGUGGUUUUGUGUGUUUGCCAUCCAUGGACUUUACCAAACAGGUGAUUCCAGUGUUUCAGGUUUUCUGGCUCUUAGCCAGCUGAUGGCUCUAAAACCAUGCUUUACGUCCUGUCCUGUUAUUUCAAUAUUACACCUGACAGAGAAUGGGAAUCAUUCUUUGUUAUUUUUAAUUAGUUCAAAUCCUGUUGGCUGUCCUCCGGUCAAUUUAGCAAUAAUCUCUUUGGGAACUGAAAAGAAAUAUCAAAGCCUACUGCUAGAAUGUGCGUAAGAGUAGAACAUGAAUUUAGCUCUGGAUUAGCAAAUUCAUCCGCUGGGUUCAGUGUGUAUCAUUUAUGCACUUCUACAUUUUCUGUUUUUCCUCUAGUCCAGUUUUGUUAAAAAUAACUGUAGGUUUUUUUUAAAUACUUCAUAAGGCAAUUUGGGCAAAUCAGGAGAAGAGUGAGAAAUUGCACAUCAGUGUAUGUGGCAAGGAACAGGUUAUUCAACAGGACAAAACAAUAUAAGUAAUAUAGACUAUACUUUUUAAAAAUGGGAGAACAAAUAUCCAAAACUAUGGUCAUCCUGAACGGGAGUUGUGCACCACAGAUACAAUCCAAACAAGAAACUGAACUGUGAUGAGUUGAUAAGCUGAUGUGCUGUAGGUACAGACUCUUUGUCAUCCUACAGUAAAUUAUGAACCUCUUGCAGGUUUUUGAAAACCUCUGGAGAUGUGUGCCUUAGUUAGCAGUGACAGCCCAGUGACUCUUAGGAGCUUAUUGUGAACAAAUUCCCCAGCACAAUCCUUGGGUAUUAAGCGUUUUCUUUGACUUACUCAUUUCAACUGUUUUUAUUGUUACUGGGCAAUUUUCAACUGUUUUAAUGCCUCACGGUACUUCAAUUCAGUUGGAAAAAUGAAGUAACUUGGAAUCUCCGGUGUUGCAGAAGUUAAAAACGAUUAAAAGGUCUACCGAAGGAAUGUAGUCAUGGGCUCAGUUAAUUAAAUGCAGUCUUAAGUGGAAGGCAGACUGGGAGAACACUGUGAAUGGGAGUGGAUUGAUGAUCAACCUCUAUAUUAAUGUGAUUACAAUACUAGUUUUAAAAUAAGGCCUCCUCAGACGCUUUUUUGCUGGAAUAGUUAUUCAUGGUGAAGGGAGGAUUCCUCAUCAUUCAGCCACACCUAGUUCCCACAAUAUUUUCUGGUUGCUGUGUCAACGGAGCCUGCGAUCACUUUCACCAAAUGUAGUUCUCCUAGACUUUUGCAGACACCGUAACUUUCAAUCAAAUGCCGCGUCCUUUAAAUCAUCAGUUGUUUUUUUUUUUAAGUCUUCAUUUCAGCUUAAAUGAGAUGCUCAGGUUGGAAACAAAAUCCUUGUACUUAACAUACCAGAUGUAAUGGGCUGCAGUGAGAUUUGUCAUUUUUUUCUGUAGGACUAACCCUACUUAAAAAGUGAAAACAAAAAAAGGAAAAAUUAAGAGAUUAAAAUGUGAAAACAACACUGGCUGAUGUCAAAGAAGUGCCUUGUAUUUGGUUGUUUGGUUGAGUUGUGUAUGGAAUAAAUCCUGUAAUAUGUUGCAGACUUGUGCAUGUAGUUAUCUGUUUGAAUAAUGAUGUCUGUUUGUUUCAGAAGUUCACUGGGGGGGUUCAAAUUUGUAGGAGAACAGGCAGUUUGAGAAGAAUAGCAAGCCCAUGGAGUACCAUGCGAAGUGUGACCUUGUAGGGACAUUAUUUGUACGAUUAAAAAUCCUCCUUUAAUAUCAGUGUAAUUAAAUGGCUGCAAAUGACGUUGUCUCCUGCUUCUCUUAUCAAGUCAUAUUCAUAACUGCAUUCCUGUGUCUGACAUUCAGUUUUGUUCUUGCCCCCUUCACUGAUAGAGCUUUUCAGUGAUAGAAGCUUUUGGGGUUUUUUAUUUCAGUACUUUAACAGGGAAAAAGAUAAGGAGGGAUAUUAAAAGACAGGAAGCUGUGGGCAUUUUUCACAGCACAGUUUUGUUUGCACAAGAAGUUAGGCAAAUGGAAUUUCAGAGCAGUGCUUUCAUAUUUGUAGCAUAUCUUUCCUUCCCCUGCUUUCGUAAUCUCUCAGAUGUCUGAAGUCAAAUCUGCCUGGGCAGAAGGUUUUCUCCACUCCAGAGACAUUCUGGGUCUUUCAAUUAGUCGGUUGUGGUAGUGGCGCUCCUGAGCAGUGUUUGCCCUAUGAAUUUGCUAGAUUUUAAUUAAUAGGAAGGCCUUAGUUAUACAAUUGCUCUUAAUUGUAGUAGGAUGGGAAAAUUAGAGAUGAGAAACAGCAAAAUGAUCCAUCUAUUUUCUAACCACUUUAUCCAAUGCAGGGUCACGGGGGAGCUGGAGCCUAUCCCAGCUAGCACCAGGCACCAGGCAGGAUACAUCCUGGACAAUCCAUUGCAGUGCGCAAACACACACACACACACACACACACACACACACACACACACACACACACACACACCAGGGCCAAAUAGAUCACCAGUGUGUUUUUAGACUGUGGGAGGACACCAGAGCACCUGGAGGAAACCCACGUGAACGUGAGGAGAACGUGCAAACUCCAUGCAGACAGCACCCCAGGAACUGAACCCCGAGGUAGGACAGUACCAUAUCACCGUGCUGUCUGAGCAGCAGAAUCACUGGGGCAAGUCAAAUAAACCUCAAUCUCCUCUACAAACAGAGGGUUUGUAAGUAACAGUAACAGACUCAUGAACUCUUUCAUACCCACUGCAAUAUCACUCUCAUUGUAAAGUAACUCUUUUAUCCCCUAAAACGCUGAUGUGGUGUAUUCUUUGUCGGUGUCGUGAUGUCUGUUUUUGUUGUGUUGUUUUGUGGUGUGCUGUAAUGCAAAUUUACCACAGGGGUUAAUAAAGCUCAGACUGAAUUAAAGCAAACA